AAGAUAAAAGUAUUUCAGUUUAAUUCGUAAUGUAAUGUAUUAAUAGUUACUAAAUAAAACUGUGCGCAAGGUCUUAUUAUUAGUUUGGAAGUAUGAUUCAAAUUUCGUAACGCGAAUUCUCGUAAUAUAAUUGGUCCAUCUCAUAGUGCAUACACAGCUUUACCGUGAAAAAGAUUGGAUCUGAUUGGUUCAAAUUUUUCAUUUUGUAUUGUGCGUCGCGAGUCCGCUGUGUGAUUGUUUUUAAGUGUCUAAUUUUUUAAAUAUUCUUUAUUCUACUAUUCCUUACAAAAUUGUUGUUAUUAUAUACGUAAAUAUUUUAAGAAACAUUUAAAGUGUGAAUUUUCAAGACCGGGAUUCACUAUCUGGAAGGCGGGAUAAUCGAGUUCUGGAUAAAGCUGCACAGUGAAUUUUAGCACGGAUCACAGGAACUGCAAGCGACGAGAAGCCCCGACAAGUUGCUAUUGCUACCGUUAUGGAUCUUGGAGCGCUACUUGCUGGAUGAGAGGAUCGAACAUUUCAUGCUGAUCUCUUUGCCGAUUGAAGGUAAUUAAAUAAUGGAAUAACAGUGGUAUGCUAAAUAUGUAUAUUACAUCGGAACUCAAAUAUCAAUUCAGAAAUUAAAUCUGUAUAUGAAUUUGGAUAUCAAAUAACCACCAAGUAAAAUGAUAGAAUACGCA